rnacentral:rRNA from 1 species
ACGCGCCGAGAGGGAACUUGUUCCUUUCACGCGAGUGGCGAACGGGUGAGUAACACGUGGGAAACCUGCCCUUCAGCGGGGGAUAACCAUCGGAAACGAUGACUAAUACCGCAUAGUUGUUCUAGUCGCAUGACUGGAAUGGGAAAGACGGCUUCGGCUGUCACUGAAGGAUGGUCCCGCGGUGCAUUAGCUAGACGGUGGGGUAACGGCCUACCGUGGCUUUGAUGCAUAGCCGACCUGAGAGGGUGAUCGGCCACAUUGGGACUGAGACACGGCCCAAACUCCUACGGGAGGCAGCAGUAGGGAAUCUUCCGCAAUGGACGCAAGUCUGACGGAGCAACGCCGCGUGUGUGAAGAAGGUCUUCGGAUCGUAAAGCACUGUUAUCAGAGAAGAAUAGCCUGUAGAGUAACUGUUAUAGGUUUGACGGUAACUGAUCAAAAAGCCACGGCUAACUACGUGCCAGCAGCC